UUUCCUUUAGCGCACAGUAAGAGAAGGUUUUUAGGGUGAUCUUUUCCUUUAGUGUACAGUUAGAGAAGGUUAGGGGUGAUCUUUUCCUUUAGUGUACAGUUAGAGAAGGUUAGGGGUGAUCUCCUUUAGUGUACAGUUAGAGAAGGUUUUUAGGGUGAUCUUUUCCUUUAGUGUACAGUAAGAGAAGGUUUUUAGGGUGAUCUUUUCCUUUAGUGUACAGUUAGAGAAGGUUUUUGGGGUGAUCUUUUCCUUUAGCGCACAGUAAGAGAAGGUUUUUAGGGUGAUCUUUUCCUUUAGUGUACAGUUAGAGAAGGCUUUUGGGGUGAUCAUUUCCUUUAGUGUACAGUUAGAGAAGGUUUUUGGGGUGAUCUUUUCCUUUAGCGUACAGUGAGAGAAGGUUUUUAGGGUGAUCUUUUCCUUUAGUGUACAGUUAGAGAAGGUUAGGGGUGAUCUCCUUUAGUGUACAGUUAGAGAAGGUUUUUAGGGUGAUCUUUUCCUUUAGUGUACAGUUAGAGAAGGUUUGGGGUGAUCUCCUUUAGUGUACAGUAAGAGAAGGUUUUUGGGGUGAUCUUUUCCUUUAGCGUACAGUUAGAGAAGGUUUUUAGGGUGAUCUUUUCCUUUAGUGUACAGUUAGAGAAGGUUUUUAGGGUGAUCUUUUCCUUUAGUGUACAGUUAGAGAAGGUUUUUGGGGUGAUCUUUUCCUUUAGCGUACAGUAAGAGAAGGUUUUUAGGGUGAUCUUUUCCUUUAGUGUACAGUUAGAGAAGGUUUUUGGGGUGAUCUUUUCCUUUAGCGUACAGUAAGAGAAGGUUUUUAGGGUGAUCUUUUCCUUUAGUGUACAGUUAGAGAAGGUUUUUGG